rnacentral:rRNA from 1 species
UACGUAGGGGGCAAGCGUUGUCCGGAAUCAUUGGGCGUAAAGGGUGUGUAGGUGGCGCGCUAAGUCGGGUGUGAAAUUUCGGAGCUUAACUCCGAAACUGCAUUCGAUACUGGCGUGCUUGAGGACUGGAGAGGAGACUGGAAUUCAUGGUGUAGCAGUGAAAUGCGUAGAGAUCAUGAGGAAGACCAGUGGUGAAGGCGGGUCUCUGGACAGUUCCUGACACUGAGACACGAAGGCCAGGGGAGCAAACGGG